CAUUAAGAAGCUAUACAAGCAUUAACCUUUUAAGUUAAAGACUGGGAGUUUAAUUCUCCCCUUAAUGA
rnacentral:tRNA from 1 species